UACGUAGGGUGCAAGCGUUGUCCGGAAUUAUUGGGCGUAAAGAGCUCGUAGGCGGUCUGUCGCGUCGGCUGUGAAAACCUGAGGCUCAACCUCGGGCCUGCAGUCGAUACGGGCAGACUAGAGUUCGGUAGGGGAGACUGGAAUUCCUGGUGUAGCGGUGGAAUGCGCAGAUAUCAGGAGGAACACCGGUGGCGAAGGCGGUGGGCUGGGCCGGAACUGACGCUGAGGAGCGAAAGCGUGGGGAGCGAACAGG
rnacentral:rRNA from 1 species